GACGAACGCUGGCGGCGUGCUUAACACAUGCAAGUCGAACGGAAAGGCCUGCAGCUUGCUGCGGGUACUCGAGUGGCGAACGGGUGAGUAACACGUGGGUGAUCUGCCUUGCACUUCGGGAUAAGCUUGGGAAACUGGGUCUAAUACCGGAUAGGACAGCUGUUUAGUGUCGGUUGUGGAAAGUUUUUUCGGUGCAAGAUGAGCUCGCGGCCUAUCAGCUUGUUGGUGGGGUAAUGGCCUACCAAGGCGUCGACGGGUAGCCGGCCUGAGAGGGUGUACGGCCACAUUGGGACUGAGAUACGGCCCAGACUCCUACGGGAGGCAGCAGUGGGGAAUAUUGCACAAUGGGCGGAAGCCUGAUGCAGCGACGCCGCGUGGGGGAUGAAGGCCUUCGGGUUGUAAACUCCUUUCGACAGGGACGAAGCUUUUGUGACGGUACCUGUAUAAGAAGCACCGGCUAACUACGUG
rnacentral:rRNA from 1 species